UACGUAGGGUGCGAGCGUUAAUCGGAAUUACUGGGCGUAAAGCGUGCGCAGGCGGUUCGUUAAGUCAGAUGUGAAAGCCCCGGGCUCAACCUGGGAACUGCAUUUGAAACUGGCGGGCUUGAGUAUGGCAGAGGGGGGUGGAAUUCCGCGUGUAGCAGUGAAAUGCGUAGAGAUGCGGAGGAACACCGAUGGCGAAGGCGGCCUCCUGGUUCAAUACUGACGCUGAGGUGCGAAAGCGUGGGGAGCAAACAGG
rnacentral:rRNA from 1 species